AUCCGCUGAGACAGUCAUGCGUUCUGCUGUGGUGUCGGCUGUCGUUCUGCUCCUGGUUCUGGUUCACAUCCAGGACUCUCUCUCCAAUUCGGCUCGAACCAUGUGCCUGCGGAAUUAUUCACCCAGACCCUGUGGCGGCGGAUGGAUCCAGGUGACCGGCAACAACUGUCUGGCUAUGGAUGGACCGACAAAUCUGCGUUUGGCUUCACUAAAUGGCACCCUGGG